GACGGAGGGUGCGAGCGUUGUUCGGAUUGACUGGGCGUAAAGGGUGUGUAGGCGGUUGGUCAAGUCUGAUGUGAAAACCCGGGGCUUAACCCCUGGCUUGCAGUGGAUACGGACAGACGUAGAGGUAGGUAGGGGAGAAUGGAAUUCCCGGUGUAGCGGUGAAAUGCGCAGAUAUCGGGAGGAACACCGGUGGCGAAGGCGGUUCUCUGGGCCUUACCUGACGCUGAGGAGCGAAAGCAUGGGGAGCGAACAGG
rnacentral:rRNA from 1 species